UUCAAGCGAUUCUCCUGCCUCAGCCUCCCAAGUAGCUGGGAUUACAGCUCCUUCCAACUCCUCAGAACCUCCACUCUAUGGAUCUGGACCUCUGGAUUCGGCUUUCUCCCUGGGCACUGCCUUCAGGAAGACGUUGAGAAUUGACCUUACACAAUCCCAGCGCCCUCCUCACAGGAGCCUUUCACUUUACAGUGGCAAGGGGCUGGUUCUGGAGAACUGGCUGAUGCUCUGAAUUUCUUCAUAUACCCCACAUUUGACUUUGGCUUACACUGUACAAUUGGAGAUGUUGCUACAGGUCCCUGAGAUGCAAUCAGAUUAAGCGUAGCAAGCAUUGCCAAUGGGAAAGUCAAAAUAAUUUAUUUUUUUUCCCUUUCCCCCUACCCCAUCCCCAGCCAAGAAUUUCUUUUCAAGAUAUCGUCAUCAUUCUUAAACAACAUUCUUAACCCCCAGCUGGGGUCCCCAUUUUAAUAGAUGUCAUUGCUUCAAGUCUAACGGCGCCGGGAGGCCUGUUUGAGGGAAAACAUUAGUUUGAAAAAUCCCCGUUCCCUUCAUCCACUGCCCUUGUUCUCCACGUGGGAGUGUGCUUGUGGCCCCUCAGAAAGAUAGUCUGCUGGCUCCUAGGGGUUGGGGUGGGGGACACACCUUUUUCUCAGGAAGAGGUGAUGGCAAUGUAAAACAUCUAAGCAAAGUUUUAAAUGAAAAAAAGGAAACACAUUUAAACAUCCUGAUAAUGGAGGGAAGGGGGGCACAUUUACACAUAGCCCAGAACUUGUAGAAUUCUGCAUAGUGAAUGUAUAUUGAAUUAGUCUCCUGCCUUAUACAUUCAGGAGGAAUAAAUUUCCAUAAUGUAAGGCAAAUGCAUGGGGUUCUGAGGUUCACUUUGCAAGUGCCCUUGCUGCCUUUCCUCUGUGUCUAUUAUGGCUCUUUAAGUUGACGGUUCCUGGAGCAGCUUGUAUUUAGUUUCGUUUGGCAGUCUGGCCCUGUUGACUUUGAUUUGCAGACCAAUUCUCCCUUGACCUGACUCACAGCCGCCUGCUCUUACCCCCCUCCUCAGGAAGUCUUCCUCAUUAAAGGAUGUGAUGACGGAGCUCAGGGAUGAGAAUGCACAUGUGAGACUGUGUGACACCAAGGAGGGUUGUGCGAACUGGUGACAACAUGGCAGCACCAUGGCCUGUGGGGGUUGUGUGACUAGUGUGACUGUGCUGGCGACCAUAUGGACCUGUUUUGUCAGUCGGUGUCUAAGCAGGAGAUGGCACACUCAAACUGGGAAGUGUUUUAAACAUAGGCUAUUCUGGCCUGGCAUGGUGGAUCACACCUGUAAUCCCAGCACUUUGGGAGGCUGAGGCAGGAGGGUUGCUUGAGCUCAGGAGUUCGAGACCAGCCUGGGAGAUCCCUGCUCUAUAAAAAUGAAAAAAUUAGCCAGGUGGGGUGGCACAUGCCUGUGGUACCAGCUACUUAGGAGGCUGAGGUGGGAGGAUUGCUUGAGCCCAGGAGGUCAAGGCUGCACUGAGCUGUGAUCCUACCACUGUGCGCUCCAGCCUGGGCAACAGAACAAGACCCUAUCUCAAGAAAUAAAACAGACUAUUUCCAAAGGCGUGGGCUGGGCUUAAGAAACUAACAAGGGGCUGGGUUUGGUGGCUCACAUUUGUAAUCCCAGUACUUUGGGAGGCCGAGGCAGGCAGAUCACCUGAGGUCAGGAGUUUGAGACCAGUGUGGCCAACAUGGCGAAACCCCAUCCUAUUAAAAAUACAAAAAUUAGCCAGGCGUUGUUGUGUGCACCUGUAGUCCAAGCUCCUUGGGAGGCUGAGGCAUGAGAGUGGCUUGAACCUGGGAGGCGGAGGUUGCAGUGAGCUGAGAUCGCGUCACUGCAUGCCAGCCUGGGUGAGUGCUCUCCCCCCUCCACCCAAAAAAAAAAAUGUAAUGGGAUGGUUCAGCAAUCUGGGGCCAGCAACAGUGAGAAGCCUUUGCAACUCCUGAGUCUGAGGGUGAGGAGAGGUCACUGUGUGGAGUGGGGCCCCUGACAAGAACCGUGACCUUUGGUUGAGAGAUGUGGCCAACCAUGGCAACCUGGUAGAGAGGGAACAAAGAGAAUAAAUAUCUACUCCUCCCUUAAGUCUCCUUAAGACGCUGGGAUGUCUCAUUGGCAACCCAACAGGAAGCCGGGGAACAAGGGAGCCAUUGAUGCAGUCCACAGAUGCCAGCCCCCAGGGAACAGAGCAGAAGUGUGGCGAGUGAAAGCGGAAGGGCAGCAUAUCAUGUAACUGUCUGAGGCUAUGCCUUGUUCCUCAAAGUCCACAGCAACGCUCCUUCCCCAUCCGGAGCUCCCACAACCCUCGGGUCUGAAGGGGUGGGUGGACUGUUGCUUGGAGAGCACAGUAAGGUUGGAAGGUAGAGGACAGGGCUUUUCCCUCUCAGCCUUUGCAUUGCUGGCUCUGAGUCCCAGUUCCUGAUUCCUGCCUGUCCUGGUGUCUUAGGUAGCUGCAGGAACUGUCCACAGGAGGAACCAUGUCAGCCACUGAGUCGGUGUUUUUCUCACACUCAGAAACGCUGCACCACUCCCAAACAAAACCACAGGCGUGCUGCUGCCAUCAUGAGCCCUGGACAGUCAUCACAAGCCAUAAUUACUGUCACAUGUAUAUCAAGAAAACAUACAUCUUGGCCAGGUGUGGUGGCUCACGCCUGUAAUCCCAGCACUUUGGGAGGCCGAGGUGGGCAGAUCACGAGGUCAAGAGUUCGAGACCAGCCUGACCAACAUGGUGAAACCCCGUCUCUACUAAAAAUACAAAAAUUAGCUGGGCAUGGUGGUGGGUGCCUGUAGUCCCAGCUCCUCGGGAGGCUGAGGUAGGAGAAUG
rnacentral:lncRNA from 1 species